CUCAGCUUUUCUGUGAAAAUUCAUUCAGUUCUCUGUAACAAUAGACAUGGAACUUGAAAAUCUUAGAAGCCACGGCAGCCCCUGCAUCUCUUCUCGAAAACUCUUUUCCAAGGACUAUAUCUUAUUGCCUUUCAUCUGCAACACUUACAGCAAUGCCAGACACUCCAUCUGCCUGACACAUUUUCUGAAUGAAUGAUGUUAUAAUGAGUACAUCAAGCAAAUCCAAAGAAUGAAUGGAGUCAGACAAGCUCGAGUUCAAGAGGAUCAGAGGAUCGUGUUUCUUUCCCAAAUGCCUAGUUCCAUCAUGCCUGUGUUAGGAUUUCAUGGAUCCAGAGACGAGGAAGAAAUGGUUUGGUUGGUGUAUCAUUCACUCUUUGUACAGCAGUAAUUUACUACGCAGUUGGCA